rnacentral:lncRNA from 1 species
CAGUUUUCGGUCUGCAGGACAAGUAGUGAAAGAGACUGGGUAUGUGAGGACGAAGAAGGAUGACAUGCACCAAAUCAUGUAAGGAAUGGAAAUCAAUUCAGUGACCAGUACAAUAAUAACUAUAGCCUCUGCAGCCGGGGCAUCCUAUAUACCAACCCAGUAAAACCAGCUCCCCUUUGGUAUUCUGUACAAAGUGAAGGACUUUGUUUUACAGAGUAAUGCCAGUUUUUGCCAAAGGAAGAGACAGGCACAAGACUGCAGUGUGCAUGAAGCAAACAAAUGAGUUGUGGUGCCAAAAUAUAGUUUUCAUUAUCUUAUGUAAAUAUUGUUUUGGGGUGGCAGUGGCCUUGUAGUAUAAGCAAGCAUCUCAUGUAGUACAGAGGCUAUCGUUCAUAUGCCAGUGGUUCUUGGAUCCGUUCCUGGGCACGACCCUUAGCUGCAUGUCUUCUCCCGCCCACAUUUCCUGACUUUCUCUUCAGCUGUCCUAUUCAAUAAAAAAGACCAAAUGGCUUUUGGCUUGUAUGCCUUCAUUUUGGGAGAACAGGAUGGUGGAUAGAGCGGGAAGCAGGAGAGCAAGUGGGAAGUGACAUGCAGGGCCGCAGGUUGGAAUUGAGUCAGGGCCUCCCACUUGAGGACUACAGGCUCCAUACAUGGGGCACACGAGUUAACUGGUGGACUAAAUUGAAGUGGAUUUUUGAUGCACUGAUGAAAUCCCAUAUUAUCCUGAAUAAAUAUAUAGCGGAUAAGGGAGUGAUUUUUUAGUUAUUUACUUUUUUUGUUUGCCUUGUUUUCUGCUGGUUGGAAUUGGAAUAGUUGGAAUAAUCUGCAAUAAUCUGCAAACACUGAUGUUUAAUAGUAAACUGCCUUACACUUAUUACAGUGUCAACAUAUAUAUGUAUAGAUAUGUAUCUAUAUUAGGUUGCUAUAAAAAAGAAUGGAGGUGCUGUUUUGUUAUUUCUUGAGGAUAACAUUUGCUAUCCUCAUGUUGUGUUGCAUGUGAGAAACUGGUGACACAAAUACACCCUCAGUUGAAUUCCUACCAGUGCCUGCUUGUGUUUAACACAAACCUUAUUUUCAGCACCAAUCUGAAGGCACAUUGAAAAGCCCACUGGAGUUAUAGGGAAGGACUGCGGCCAACGAACCAUGGCAGAGUUAACUUCCAGGUUGGCUUGCAGGAAAACAGCCCUGGUGGACUCUAGAGGCUUGUCGAGGCCAUAACAUUAUUCACAUAAACACUGCACAUUGGAAAACCUGUUAAAGUAAGACCGAAUGGACAAACACUCAGACCAGCUCUUAUUCUGUGAGCUCCUAGUGGGCACCGGAUAACAGCAAUAUCAGUUAAGUGGGGACUAAUAUAUACUGUGAAAAUAACACUGCUUUCAGAGUGUAGCACUUACAUGCAGGUAGCAAGAGCCAGGGCAAUGACGUUUUCAGUUCAGAUCCAAUUACACUUACAUUGCAUUUCCUCUAAUCUGUUUCGGUAUACCCGCUGUAUAAUAUAGUUAGUGUAUUGAUUUUAUUGAUCUCAUACUAUCCAUGUAUGGUGUUAUCCUUUUGACCAAUCACAUGUCUCAUGUAUGCCUUAGGUUUUCCUUCGUGUUUCAGUUCUGCAGAGCAUCUUGGAGGCAACUUGAUGUCUGAGGAUGCUGUUCUGCAUAGCCCGAGGUUUGAAACGGGGUUUGAGUAUUUUUGAGACUUGUCGUACAUCUUGAGCGAGAUUCAAAGUGACAGGCUUCUUGAAAGACCGGG